GCUCCAGACUCCAUGCUGCAUCCCCAGCAAGUGUCCGGUCUGCCCGGGAGACCUCUUGCAGAGAAGCUCAUUUUGGGGUUUCUUUAUUCUGCCCACUACUCCCCAUCAAGGAAGUUUCGACUGAGUUUAUCAGGGUCUGAGUUUAUCAGGGAUGUCUCGGAACUCUGACUGAAACACCUUCUUUGCUGGACCAUCCUUCAGAGCAGCUCACCAGUCUGUGGAGACCAUAGCCAUGUCGAGCAUGGUGUAUUGUACAGAUGGAGGACAUCAUCCAGAGCACACCAGGCCAAGCAUACACUGU